GAUGAACGCUGGCGGCGUGCUUAACACAUGCAAGUCGAACGAAGCAUAUAAUCGGAAGUUUUCGGAUGGAAGAAUAUAUGACUGAGUGGCGGACGGGUGAGUAACGCGUGGGUAACCUGCCUUAUACAGGGGGAUAACAGUCAGAAAUGACUGCUAAUACCGCAUAAGCACACAGGAUCGCAUGAUCUAGUGUGAAAAAUUCAGGUGGUAUAAGAUGGACCCGCGUCUGAUUAGCUAGUUGGUGAGGUAACGGCUCACCAAGGCGACGAUCAGUAGCCGACCUGAGAGGGUGACCGGCCACAUUGGGACUGAGACACGGCCCAAACUCCUACGGGAGGCAGCAGUGGGGAAUAUUGCACAAUGGGGGAAACCCUGAUGCAGCGACGCCGCGUGAAGGAAGAAGUAUUUCGGUAUGUAAACUUCUAUCAGCAGGGAAGAAAAUGACGGUACCUGACUAAGAAGCCCCGGCUAAUUACGUGCCAGCCGCCGCCGUAACAC
rnacentral:rRNA from 1 species